rnacentral:rRNA from 1 species
AGACGAACCGCACGAACGUUAUUCGGAAUCACUGGGCUUAAAGGGUGCGUAGGCGGCGAAGAAAGUUGGGUGUGAAAGCCCUCGGCUCAACCGAGGAAUUGCGCCCAAAACUACUUUGCUUGAGGGAGACAGAGGUGAGCGGAACUUGCGGUGGAGCGGUGAAACGCGUUGAUAUCGCAAGGAACACCUGUGGCGAAAGCGGCUCACUGGGUCUCUUCUGACGCUGAGGCACGAAAGCUAGGGGAGCGAAGAGGAUUAGAUACCCUCGGAGUCCUAGCCGUAAACGAUGAGCACUUGGUCGGAGGACCUCCCAUAGUUUUCCGGCCGUAGCGAAAGUGUUAAGUGCUCCGCCUGGGGAGUAUGGUCGCAAGGCUGAA